AACGCACAUUGCGCCCUCUGGUAUUCCGGGGGGCAUGCCUGUCCGAGCGUCAUUGCAACCCUCAAGCCAGGCUUGUGUGAUGGGGGCUCGUCCCGCCUCAGGGCGCGGACGCCCCCCAAAGGCAGUGGCCGCCGCACGCCGCGAAUACCGACGCCUGGGCGAAUGGGAACACCAACGCCUCAGGGUACGGCCGGCUGCGCGCCUCGUACCAACCAUCUUCCACGGUUGACCUCGGAUCAGGUAGGGAUACCCGCUGAACUUAA
rnacentral:misc_RNA from 1 species